rnacentral:rRNA from 1 species
CAGCAGCCGCGGGAAUACGGAGGGUGCAAGCGUUACUCGGAAUCACUGGGCGUAAAGGACGCGUAGGCGGAUUAUCAAGUCUCUUGUGAAAUCUAACGGCUUAACCGUUAAACUGCUUGGGAAACUGAUAAUCUAGAGUAAGGGAGAGGCAGACGGAAUUCUUGGUGUAGGGGUAGAAUCCGUAGAUAUCAAGAAGAAUACCUAUUGCGAAGGCGAUCUGCUGGAACUUAACUGACGCUAAUGCGUGAAAGCGUGGGGAGCAAACAGGAUUAGAGACCCCGGUAGUCCCUGUCUCUUAUAC